GGGAUCCCUCAUACCGCACUAAUGCACCGUAUCCCAUCAUAACUCCACAGAUAAGCAUGCCUGGGUGAGAUUAGUACUAGGAUGGGUGACCUCCUGGGAAGUCCUCGUGUUGCACCUC
rfam:Lupinus angustifolius cultivar Tanjil contig_4178, whole genome shotgun sequence.